rnacentral:rRNA from 1 species
CCUACGGUGUGCAGCAGUGAGGAAUAUUGGUCAAUGGCCGAGAGGCUGAACCAGCCAAGUCGCGUGAGGGCAGACGGCCCUACGGGUUGUAAACUGCUUUUGUACGAGGGUACAUCCCGAUACGUGUAUCGGGUUGAAAGUAUCGUACGACUCAGGAUCGGCUAACUCCGUGCCAGCAGCCGCGGUCAUACGGAGGAUUCAAUCGUUAUCCGGAUUUAUUGGGUUGAAAGGGUGCGUAGGCGGUUCGAUAAGUUAGAGGUGAAAUCCCGGGGCUCAACUCCGGCACUGCCUCUGAUACUGUCGGGCUAGAGUUUAGUUGCGGUAGGCGGAAUGUAUGGUGUAGCGGUGAAAUGCAUAGAGAUCAUACAGAACACCGAUUGCGAAGGCAGCUUACCAAACUACGACUGACGUUGAGGCACGAAAGCGUGGGGAGCAAACAGGAUUAGAUACCCCAGUAGUC